rnacentral:tRNA from 1 species
AAAUAAGAAGCGAUUAAUUGCAAUUAGUUUCGACCUAAUCUUAGAUAAUUUAAUUAUCCUUAUUUU